ACCUGGCUGGCUCAGUCGUUAGAGCAUGAGACUCUUGAUCUCAGGGUCGUGGGUUUGAGCCCCACGUUGGGCA
rnacentral:tRNA from 2 species